UCCUCCCUCUGUCGGCGUGCUUAACACAUGCAAGUCGAACGGUGAAGCGCCUUCCUUUUUGGUGGGUGUGGAUGAGUGGCGAACGGGUGAGUAACACGUGAGUAACCUGCCCCCUUCUUCUGGAUAACCGCAUGAAAGUGUGGCUAAUACGGGAUAUUCUGGGUCUGUCGCAUGAUGGGUCUGGGAAAGAUAUUGUUUCGGUGGGGGAUGGGCUCGCGGCCUAUCAGCUUGUUGGUGGGGUGAUGGCCUACCGAGGCGGUGACGGGUAGCCGGCCUGAGAGGGUGGACUGUCACACUGGGACUGAGACACGGCCCAGACUCCUACGGGAGGCAGCAGUGGGGAAUAUUGCACAAUGGGCGCAAGCCUGAUGCAGCGACGCCGCGUGAGGGAUGGAGGCCUGCGGGUUGUGAACCUCUUUCGCCAGUGAAGCAGGCCUGCCUCGUUUGUGGGUGGGUUGACGGUAGCUGGAUGAGAAGCGCCGGCUAACUACGUG
rnacentral:rRNA from 1 species